rnacentral:lncRNA from 1 species
UUUUGGAUUCGGGAGUCAAUUAUGAAAGGGAAAGGUCUUAGCACUCGUCACAUUCGUUGUACUCAACGGUAACCAUUUAGUUAGAUUUGUGAAUAGGAUGUUAACUUAUGUUUGUUUGUUUUCUUCUGAUUAUUAAAAGAUAAUUACAAAAGGGGAGAAAUUUUGGUUUUUUAUUAAUGCGCUCGACAAGAUUUCAAAACCAUGUGCGCAUGUAUUCGCAAGUGUAAUGGGAAAAUCAGAGUCCCGUACUUUGUGGUAAAAAAU